rnacentral:rRNA from 1 species
UAGGGAAUCUUCGGCAAUGGGGGCAACCCUGACCGAGCAACGCCGCGUGAGUGAAGAAGGUUUUCGGUUCGUAAAGCUCUGUUGUAAGAGAAGAACGUGUGUGAGAGUGGAAAGUUCACACAGUGACGGUAACUUACCAGAAAGGGACGGCUAACUACGUGCCAGCAGCCGCGGUAAUACGUAGGUCCCGAGCGUUGUCCGGAUUUAUUGGGCGUAAAGCGAGCGCAGGCGGUUUAAUAAGUCUGAAGUUAAAGGCAGUGGCUUAACCAUUGUUCGCUUUGGAAACUGUUAAACUUGAGUGCAGAAGGGGAGAGUGGAAUUCCAGGUGUAGCGGUGAAAUGCGUAGAUAUAUGGAGGAACACCGGUGGCGAAAGCGGCUCUCUGGUCUGUAACUGACGCUGAGGCUCGAAAGCGUGGGGAGCAAACAGG